rnacentral:rRNA from 1 species
UGGGGAAUUUUGGACAAUGGGCGAAAGCCUGAUCCAGCAAUGCCGCGUGUGUGAAGAAGGCCUUCGGGUUGUAAAGCACUUUUGUCCGGAAAGAAAUCCUUGGCUCUAAUACAGUCGGGGGAUGACGGUACCGGAAGAAUAAGCACCGGCUAACUACGUGCCAGCAGCCGCGGUAAUACGUAGGGUGCAAGCGUUAAUCGGAAUUACUGGGCGUAAAGCGUGCGCAGGCGGUUUGCUAAGACCGAUGUGAAAUCCCCGGGCUCAACCUGGGAACUGCAUUGGUGACCGGCAGGCUAGAGUAUGGCAGAGGGGGGUAGAAUUCCACGUGUAGCAGUGAAAUGCGUAGAGAUGUGGAGGAAUACCGAUGGCGAAGGCAGCCCCCUGGGCCAAUACUGACGCUCAUGCACGAAAGCGUGGGGAGAAACAGGAUUAGAUACCCUGGUAGUCCACGCCCUAAACGAUGUCAACUAGUUGUUGGGAUUCAUUUCCUUAGUAACGUAGCUAACGCGUGAAGUUGACCGCCUGGGGAG